rnacentral:rRNA from 1 species
UACGUAGGGUGCGAGCGUUAAUCGGAAUUACUGGGCGUAAAGUGUGCGCAGGCGGCCGAGCAAGUCGAGUGUGAAAGCCCCGGGCUUAACCUGGGAACUGCAUUUGUGACUGCAUCGCUGGAGUGCGGCAGAGGGGGAUGGAAUUCCGCGUGUAGCAGUGAAAUGCGUAGAUAUGCGGAGGAACACCGAUGGCGAAGGCAAUCCCCUGGGCCUGCACUGACGCUCAUGCACGAAAGCGUGGGGAGCAAAAGGG